GGGUAAAGAUCUGCAUGGUUCUUUUUCCUUACCUCAACAAAUUUUGCAUUCAAGUCUAUUUUGUGUUGAGCUACCAGCCGCUUUAAAACCGUUAAUUCGUUGUUUAGAACCGCGUCGUAGAACUCUAUACCUGCCAUUUGCACACGUAGCAACAUUGAAAUGUUAUGUUAGUUUUUUGUUAUCUAUAAUUUUCAACAAAACACUGUAAAAGCAUCCUUUUCAAAGAACGAAAAUGUCCGUUUAUUCUCACUUCUGUGUAUUUCAAAAUGGCGUCUAAAAUAUAAUGUUUUGUCGAUGACGCACACUGCAAUAUUAUAAUUUAUAAUAAAACCAUCACGCUUUACAGCAACUCAUCGAUCGUAGAAAAUCAAUCGGAAAAGGGGAGAAGACCUAGUCACGUCAGCUUCAGCAGCGGUUCCAUCGAGUUUAUACUAUUGAUUAUCUGUCAUCAUACAGUUUGCAGUAUAACCAUG
rnacentral:lncRNA from 1 species